rnacentral:rRNA from 1 species
GAUGAACGCUGGCGGCGUGCCUAAUACAUGCAAGUCGAGCGAACAGACGAGGAGCUUGCUCCUCUGACGUUAGCGGCGGACGGGUGAGUAACACGUGGAUAACCUACCUAUAAGACUGGGAUAACUUCGGGAAACCGGAGCUAAUACCGGAUAAUAUAUUGAACCGCAUGGUUCAAUAGUGAAAGACGGUUUUGCUGUCACUUAUAGAUGGAUCCGCGCCGCAUUAGCUAGUUGGUAAGGUAACGGCUUACCAAGGCAACGAUGCGUAGCCGACCUGAGAGGGGAGUGGGCAACAAGGAGACAGAGAAAGGGGCAGGACGCAAGGGGGAGGAAGAAAGAGGGAAUCUUCAGAAAGGGGCAAAAGAUAGAAGGACAAAAGCAGGGUGAAAAAUGAAGGUUUUCGAAUAGAAAAACCUUGUUAUUAGGGAAAAAAAAAUGGGAAAGAACUAAGGCACGUCUGGAAGGAACAAAACAAGAAAGCCACGCAAAACUACGUG